rnacentral:rRNA from 1 species
AUUGAACGCUGGCGGCAUGCCUUACACAUGCAAGUCGAACGGCAGCACGGGUGCUUGCACCUGGUGGCGAGUGGCGAACGGGUGAGUAAUACAUCGGAACGUACCUUAUCGUGGGGGAUAACGCAGCGAAAGCUGUGCUAAUACCGCAUACGCCCUGAGGGGGAAAGCGGGGGAUCGAAAGACCUCGCGCGAUUAGAGCGGCCGAUGCCUGAUUAGCUUGUUGGUGGGGUAAAAGCCCACCAAGGCGACGAUCAGUAGCUGGUCUGAGAGGACGAUCAGCAACACGGGGACUGAGACACGGCCCAGACUCCUACGGGAGGCAGCAGUGGGGAAGUUUGGACAAUGGGGGCAACCCUGAUCCAGCAACGCCGCGUGAGUGAAGAAGGCCUUCGGGUUGUAAAGCUCUUUUGUCAGGGAAGAAACACCGGCUCUAACACAGUCCGGGAAUGACGGUACCUGAAGAAUAAGCACCGGCUAACUACGUGCCAGCCGCCGCCGUAA